GGUGGAGUGGCCGAGUGGUUAAGGCGCUGUGUUGUACGUAUCUCCUCAAGAUGCUCGUGUUCGAAUCUGUUACUAACAAUUUCUACAGUAGGUUAUCAUCUGAUACCUCAAGCCCGCAGUGGGAAACCUCGCGAGUUCGAAUCUCGUCUCCAUCA
rnacentral:tRNA from 1 species